GACGAACGCUGGCGGCGUGCUUAACACAUGCAAGUCGAGCGGUAAGGCCUUUCGGGGGUACACGAGCGGCGAACGGGUGAGUAACACGUGGGUGACCUGCCCUCAGCUCUGGGGAUAAGCCUGGGAAACUGGGUCUAAUACCGGAUAUGACUCCAUGACGCAUGUUGUGGGGUGGAAAGCCUUGUGCGGCUGAGGAUGGGCCCGCGGCCUAUCAGCUUGGUUGGUGGGGUGAUGGCCUACCAAGGCGACGACGGGUAGCCGGCCUGAGAGGGCGACCGGCCACACUGGGACUGAGACACGGCCCAGACUCCUACGGGAGGCAGCAGUGGGGGAAUCUUGCGCAAGUGGGCGAAAGCCUGACGCAGCGACGCCGCGUGAGGGAUGACGGCCU
rnacentral:rRNA from 1 species